UGAUGCGGGACAAUCCUAAAAAGAAAAUCAAUCCUAAUAAUCAAGCUCUCUUCUGUUCAUCAACAACAAAUCACAUCCGGCCAGGGGCUCAUUAUUCCCAGGACAGACAGUAUAGUUGCCUAUACUCUGCUCAGGAGACGUGAUUGAUUGAUACGAGACUAAAGCGAGAUCAAUCUAAAUGAUACAAACGAAUGCCAUUCG
rnacentral:lncRNA from 1 species